GACAAUGUGCUUUAUUCAGGCCUAUUCCUCAGCCACUUCAGAUUGGCAGGUGAUGUUUCAGAGGGAGCAGCCAGGGUUGUUUCCCAUUAGCCUCAACACGGCUAAGAUGCAUGGAUACACAUUUGACUUGACAGAUGGAAGGCUUGUAUUUCGUACUCCGUAUGGACAACCUGACUCAUACAGCACUAAGGUGAAUGGUGUUCCAGUAGAGGUGGUCCAUGCAACCCUAUUGUCC